rnacentral:rRNA from 1 species
UACGUAGGGUGCAGGCGUUAAUCGGAAUUACUGGGCGUAAAGCGUGCGCAGGCGGUCUUUUAAGUCAGAUGUGAAAUCCCCGGGCUUAACCUGGGAACUGCGUUUGAAACUGGAAGGCUUGAGUGUGGCAGAGGGGGGUGGAAUUCCACGUGUAGCAGUGAAAUGCGUAGAUAUGUGGAGGAACACCGAUGGCGAAGGCAGCCCCCCUGGGCUAACACUGACGCUCAUGCACGAAAGCGUGGGGAGCAAACAGG